rnacentral:rRNA from 1 species
CCUACGGGUGGCACCAGUGGGGAAUAUUGCGCAAUGGAGGGAACUCUGACGCAGCAACGCCGCGUGAAGGAAGAAGGCUUUCGGGUUGUAAACUUCUUUGAUCGGGGACGAAGAUGACGGUACCCGAGGAACAAGCCACGGCUAACUACGUGCCAGCAGCCGCGGUAAUACGUAGGUGGCGAGCGUUGUCCGGAAUUACUGGGUGUAAAGGGCGUGUAGGCGGGGAGGCAAGUCAGAUGUGAAAUCCCGAGGCUCAACUUCGGAGCUGCAUCUGAAACUGUUUUUCUUGAGUACUGGAGAGGAAAGUGGAAUUCCUAGUGUAGCGGUGAAAUGCGUAGAGAUUAGGAGGAACACCAGUGGCGAAGGCGGCUUUCUGGACAGUAACUGACGCUGAGGCGCGAAAGCGUGGGGAGCAAACAGGAUUAGAUACCCUUGUAGUC